CUUGCAUUUCCAGAUGCAAUGAAUUUGGUUGGCGCUGACUUUGAUUGCUUCAAUUGACAUGGAAAAUGGAAACACUAUCAAAACUGAGGUCAAAUCCAUUUUUUGGUUGUUCGCAUUGAAUGAACUCUAUGAGGGGGCUUUGUUAGGAGAUGCGAAGGAGGUCUGUGACAGAGGUAUGUGCAUGGUUCAUUCAGGUUCAUGGAUAUGCUUUUUGUUAUGGGAUAUUGGGGUCUUCCCCUCACUUCAUCUUACAUUAUCCUGAAAUUUAUGAUCUUUAAAUUUUUCGUGCUCAAAUCCACUCAUCAAGUUCACUUAUGCUGAUUUCUAAUCAGGUUAGGAUUUGGAUUUCAAUUUCCUUAUGUGAUAUUCAUUGAAAAUUGUAGGUGAUUUAUGGUUUUGUCAUUCUAGCAUCUUACUUGGUCUUUGAUGGUUUAGGAUGGAGAAGCCGGAGGUGCCUGGCACAAGGUCCUUUUUUACCGUAAUAGUUGCCUCAAUCAUGGAUAUAAAGUUUUCCAAGAAUGGAAGGCAUAUACUUAGUCGUGACUACAUGACUCUCAAGCUAGGUUGUACUGGCAGAUGAGCAUAAUAACCAUUCAGCAAGUCCAGCCAAUCCACCGAAAUUAUAUGGUAAGGCCUCCUUUUGUCUGAGUUAACUAUUAUGGUAUUUUACGGGAUUAUAUCGUCCCUACAUGAGCCCUAAUGUUCAUAAUUAUUUUGAUGUUCUGGCAUAAGAGGUGUGUAUCUUGCUUAGAACUCCAUCUAUAUUUUCUCAGUGAACUUUAAGGUCAAAUUUGCAAUGCAAUACAUGAUAUCAUGCUUUUACAUCUGACUUGGUUAGCUUUUGUAAAUGAAUUUUACUUUUCUGUUAAUAAUAGUAGGAAAAAAAUGUAAACUGAUUAAAUUCAUAUCUGGAUGUAUUGGUAAAUAUGAAGCUCAUCUAUGGAACAAUAUUUGCAAAAAAAGGGUUCAAGGCAGGGUAAGCGUUGUAAUUUGUACUCAUUGCAUUAUCAAACAAUAUAUUAAACAUGGUUUUCUCUUCACCCCCUUUUUCUUCAAGGUGGAAGAGGUUCUUGCUACAGAUAAAUCCUCCGUCCAAAUGAGUUAAUUAACUAUAUCUUUACUUCUUAAUCUACUCUAUAUUUCUCUGACUUUUGGUUUUUGUAUUGCUUGCUUGGGAUGUGCCUUUUGGGUUCUCAAGAUGAUUUUCAGGUUAUUUGGGUGAGCACUAUGUCUAUAUGGUUCUACCAUUGAGGUAUGGUGCUGCUCAAAGCAUGUAGCUGUUUUGGUUCUACCAAGGGCGGAGCCACGUUUGGGCCUGGGUGGGCUGUAGCCUGGGUGAAUUUUUUUGACAAAUGUUUAGUACUUAUAUCUUCAAUAGCCCAACCCAAUACUAAAAACAUAAUACCCAAGUAACCCAACAAACAGAGAGCCCAAAUGGACAAAUGGUAUGUCCACGAUCCACCAGCUCCAAUUGUUGCAACUUGCUGCGCGUCCUCGAGCUCCAAUUGUUGCAGGUCCUCUAGCCAUCCAGCGGACCAGCUCAGCAGCUCCAAAUCUUGGAACUCGGAAGCAAGGCUCGCCGACAACACCGAGAGUGGAUCAUUGGAAGUUUUUCCUUUCUGCAAUGAGAAUGAAAUCCAGUCUGCAACUCAAGCAAAUAAGAAAGCUUUUUCCAGCUCGCAAUUAUGGAGGUAAUUGAAGCCUGAAUGAUGUCACUACUUCAAGAGUGCGUGGGAACUUAUUUACAUGCAUAUCUUGAAGUAUAUUUCAUAAUUGUAGAACUUAUGAGCCUCAAAAUGAUCAUAUUCCAUUGAAGUAAUCAAAUAAAGGACAUGACAACAUAUGAUUUACUUA